rnacentral:rRNA from 1 species
UACGUAGGGCGCAAGCGUUGUCCGGAAUCAUUGGGCGUAAAGAGCUCGUAGGCGGCCUGUCGCGUCUGCUGUGAAAUCCCGGGGCUUAACCCCGGGCGUGCAGUGGAUACGGGCUGGCUGGAGGCAGGCAGGGGAGAACGGAAUUCCCGGUGUAGCGGUGAAAUGCGCAGAUAUCGGGAGGAACACCGGUGGCGAAGGCGGUUCUCUGGGCCUGUACUGACGCUGAGGAGCGAAAGCGUGGGGAGCGAAAAGG